rnacentral:lncRNA from 10 species
ACUACUGUGUUCUCAACUGAUGUUGAGCCUAAAUUGUUUACUGCCUUAAAGCAAAUUGUUUGGGUUUAUCCCCAUUGCAUUUGGGACUUCAAAAUACUGAUGCAACCUAAGUUUCCCUUCUGUAUUGAUUGUUUUCAAGAAGUUUCUCUUCCCAUAUUGAUAGAGGUUACAGAGAUCCUCCUCAUUUCUUUUUUGCUCUUCACAGACUAUAAACACCAAAAUCAGUAGUAUUUUCUUCCUUUUUUGUUUUGUUUUUUAGUUUCCCAAAUUUCACAGUUCUGCCACUAGAUGUUGAAUUCUCUUUUCUGCAAGUUAUUCAUGAAUUAUCUCUGCAUAGUGCUUUUCUUUAUUCCUUCUAAUGGGGUAAGCUCCUGAGUUACUACAACACCUACAGGUCUCUUUUUUUUUCCCCCAUUUCCCACUGGUUGAAUUAUUGUAAUCUCCAUAGUUUGUUCUUUAAACACAGCUGAACUCUAUCUCAUUAUCAUCAAGUUUAACAUAUAUGUGGUCAAAGUGCUUUCCUAAUUCUAUCAAAAUCUGUGCAUUUUUCUUUUCUUUUUUUUUUUCUUUUUUGAGGCAGGCUCUCUCUCUUUGUCCAGGCUGGAGUGCAGUGGGACAAUUAUGGCUCACUGCAGCCUCGACCUCCUGGGCUCAAGGGAUCCUCCUGCCUCAGCCUCCCAAGUAGCUAGGACUACAGGCGCGUGCCCACACCACCAGGCUCAGUUAAUUGUUUAAAAUUUUUUGUACAGACGGGAGUCUUCCUGUGUUGCCCAGGCUUGUCUCAAACUCCUGGGCUCAAGCGAUCCUUCCGCCUCAGCCUCCCAGAGUGCUAGGAUUAUAGGUGUGAGCCACUGUGCCCAGCCUCUCCUACAUUUUUAUUUUUCUUCAAUCUGUGGUAAUGAAGUAAACUUGGUUACUUUCCUAAUUUCUUAGGUUUAUAGGA